rnacentral:rRNA from 1 species
CCUACGGGAGGCAGCAGUGGGGAAUAUUGCACAAUGGGGGAAACCCUGAUGCAGCGACGCCGCGUGAGCGAAGAAGUAUUUCGGUAUGUAACGCUCUAUCAGCAGGGAAGAAAGUGACGGUACCUGAGUAAGAAGCUCCGGCUAAAUACGUGCCAGAAGCCGCGGUAAGACGUAGGGAGCAAGCGUUAUCCGGAUUUACUGGGCGUAAGGGGAGCGUAGGCGGCCUGCCAAGUCUGAUGUGAAAUACCGGGGCUCAACCCCGGGGCUGCAUUGGAAACUGGAGGCAUUGAGUGCACCGAGGGAUGCCGGAAUUCAUGGUGUAGCGGUGAAAUGCUUAGAUAUCAUGAAGAACUCCGAUCGCGAAGGCAAGUGUCCGGGGUGCAACUGACGCUGAGGCUCGAAAGUGCGGGUAUCAAACAGGAUUAGAUACCCUUGUAGUC